UGAUCUAGAUAAGAUGACUAAAAGACUCGAAAUCAGUUUGCGGGCAACCGCACGUGAGUUCGAAUCUCACCGUCUGCGCCA
rnacentral:tRNA from 1 species